rnacentral:rRNA from 1 species
GUACACUCCUACGGGAGGCAGCAGUGGGGAAUAUUGGACAAUGGGCGCAAGCCUGAUCCAGCCAUGCCGCGUGAGUGAUGAAGGCCCUAGGGUUGUAAAGCUCUUUCACCGGUGAAGAUAAUGACGGUAACCGGAGAAGAAGCCCCGGCUAACUUCGUGCCAGCAGCCGCGGUAAUACGAAGGGGGCUAGCGUUGUUCGGAUUUACUGGGCGUAAAGCGCACGUAGGCGGACUAUUAAGUCAGGGGUGAAAUCCCGGGGCUCAACCCCGGAACUGCCUUUGAUACUGGUAGUCUUGAGUUCGAGAGAGGUGAGUGGAAUUCCGAGUGUAGAGGUGAAAUUCGUAGAUAUUCGGAGGAACACCAGUGGCGAAGGCGGCUCACUGGCUCGAUACUGACGCUGAGGUGCGAAAGCGUGGGGAGCAAACAGGAUUAGAUACCCGGGUAGUCCCAUGA